UGGUUGUGGUAGUUAUUCUACCAGCUGGUAGUCUGAGAAUCCCAAUAUGCAACUCCAUGUAGAGAGGCUGGAGAAUUGUGCAGAGACUAGCAAGUGGCAACAGUGCAGAAUACAAGUUGAAGAUGAUAAUGACACUAAAGUCAAGGGGCCUGGAUCUCCCAGUCAUCACUUGGAGGAGCAUGAAGCAAUCCAUAUUGAUCUUUCACAUCUCUGUUUGGACCCGCAACCUCUGAAGUACUUCACAGUUAUUUAAGAUUUUGAGACUGUGAUUGACUGUCAGUAACUGCAAUGACAGAAAGGAAACCACGCAUCAGGGGGUCUACUGUACUUGGUUCAGCUGCUGGACAACUUUUAUGUACGUUCGGAACCACUUGGAUGUCACAAUAUUCAUAUAAUUAUGACCACCAGGCACACCUUCACAUUGGCAAUGGAGGGAAUCCCCUUGGAAGUCAGAGCCAUCCUUGAAACUCACCCAUCAGGCCCUUACACCAGCAGACCAGAGACCGAGGCCUGGACGACAGUCACCACCCAGCUGCCCUAUCCCUGGCUCUCACUUGGACUCUCCAGACAAGAGAUUCUUAUCUAUCAAAGGGACUACAUUUGAUGAGACAAACACUGGGUUAGAUGCAUGGGGGACUCAAAAUGCAAGAGUAUAAAGUUGAGAACAGCUCUGUGCUUAUAGUUCUUUGAAUAUAGGUUUACAGUUGUGAGCACAUAAAAUACAGAGUUAAUAAAGCUAUUGUA